UUCUUCUACAAUGAGGUAAUUGAGUUCUAUGUUCAAAUGAAAAUUCAGUGGACAAGUGGGGAAAACCUUUAGUGAUUGAUAAACUCAAGGAAAUGGCCAAAGCAGAGGGUCUCUGGAACUUGUUUUUGUCAGCUGUCAGCGGUCUCAGCCAGGUGGACUAUGCCUUGAUUGCUCAAGAAACAGGAAAAUGCUUUUUUGCUCCAAAUGUCUUUAACUGUCAAGCACCCGACACGCAGAACAUGGAGGUUCUACACCUGUUUGGAAGUAAGGAAGAGAAACAGUGCCUUGAGCCUCCUCUUCAAGGGGACAUUACCUCCUGCUUCUGUAUGACAGAACCUGAUGUAGCUUCAAGUGAUGCCACAAAUAUUGAACGCAGCAUCCAACAAGAUGGAGAUAGCUAUGUAAUUAAUGGCAAGAAAUGGUGGAGCAGUGAAGCUAGUAUUCCCAAGUGCAAAAUUGCAAUUGUUUUGAGAACUCAAAAUGCUUCUGUCUCCAGACACAAAAAAGCACAGCAUGAUUCUUAUUCCCAUGAACACACCUGGAGUAGAAUUAAUAAGACCUUUGUCAGUUUUUGUCUACACAGAUAAUUUUCACGGAGGACAUUUUGAGAUCCAUUUUAAUCAACUGCAAGUUCCUGCCACAAAUCUAAUACAAGGUGAAGGUAAUGGAUUUGUAAUUUCCCAAGGCCGCCUUGGACCUGGCAGAAUCCACCAAUGUAUGAGAACAAUAGGUUUGGCAGAGUGUGCUUUGCAGAGCAUGAGUUAGGCAACACAAAGGGUAGCCUUUAAGAAGAAGAUGUUUGCACAUGAGGUUGUGGCUCACUGGAUUGCUGAAAGCCGCAUUGCCAUUGAGCAGAUCCACUUGUAGACUCUGAAAGCCACUCACAGCAUAGACACUCUGGGCAGUGCUGGCACUAGGAAGGAGAUUGCAAUGAUUAAAGUGGCUGCCCCACGGGCUGUCUGCAAAAUCGUUGACCGAACCAUCUAGGUGUAUGGAGGUGCUGGUGUUUCCCAGGAUUACCCUCUGGCCAACACGUAUGCUUUAACCCAAGCUUUGCGUUUAGCAGACGGACCUGACAAAGUUCACCUUUCAGCAAUUCCAACAAUGGAGCUGCAGGACCAAGCCAAAGAGCUGACGGCCAAGAUAUAA